UUCAAGGGUGGAAGCUACCGAUCGAUCGUAGCCUGCCUUGAACUGAUGACCUGACGGCCAGAGACCGAAUGGCAGUACCAGUGUAGCGGGUGAAAUGGCGUAGAUAUUCGGACGAACACAGUGGGCGAAGGCGGCUUCUCUGGCUGUUUUCUGACGCUGAGGCGCGAAAGCGUGGGGAGCAAACGGGAUUAGAUACCCCCGGUAGUCACGCCGUAAACGAUGGGUGCUAGGUGUAGGAGGUAUCGACCCAUUCUGUGCCGUAGUUAACACAAUAAGCAUUCCGCUGGGGAGUACGGCCGCAAGGUUGAAACUCAAAGAAAUUGACGGGGGCCCGCACAAGCAGCGGAGCAUGUGGUUUAAUUCGAAGCAACGCGAAGAACCUUACCAGGUCUUGACAUCCAGGUAAAGCGGCAGAGAUGCCGUGUGUGCUUGCACAAUCUGAGACAGGUGGUGCAUGGUUGUCGUCAGCUCGUGUCGUGAGAUGUUGGGUUAAGUCCCGCAACGAGCGCAACCCUUGUGAUCA
rnacentral:rRNA from 1 species